CAAAAUCUCUCACUCUCUCUCCAACAACAGCCACCACCAGCACUACCACCUCCUCCGUCAUCAACUCUACCGCAAAUAUAUUUAGGAACACCUCCUCCGCCAUCACCUCCGUAACUGCAAAUAAAUUAAUGAAUCAAUCGAUAACUCCAAAGAUGUACCUGUUGAUUCAGAUUAAUAUCCCAUAUUCGAUCUCAGAAUUCAAUUUUCUAGUUCGAUUUUGAUUUUUUUCUUCCCUUUGUCUUCAAAAUGAUCAGAAAAAUUAGGUUUAAAAAGUCGAUUUUGAAGAUCCAGAUUUCUAACCUUCAACAACAUGCAACAUAGAAGAUUCGUUGAAAGAAGAUGGAUCACAAGUUGUUAUUGUUGUUGUGAUACAUUUACAUGAAGUGUUUCUGUGGUGGCGAUGGAAUAUGCGAAAGAAGAAGUGUAGGUGGUGGACGAGAUCCUGGAAUUUGCUUUUCUGAUUCACGGAUGACAAGUCGUAUAUAAUGAUGCAAAAAUAAAUAGGCACCAACUAUCUCAGCUCCUUGAGGAGCAGCGUCAUUCAUAUACAUCUGAGCAUAAAUAGUUAAGAGGAAACUCUGUUCUCCUCUCUGCAUUUCCG